rnacentral:rRNA from 1 species
GACGAACGCUGGCGGCGUGCUUAACACAUGCAAGUCGAACGGAAAGGCUCCAGCUUGCUGGAGUACUCGAGUGGCGAACGGGUGAGUAACACGUGGGUAAUCUGCCCUGCACUCUGGGAUAAGCCUAGGAAACUGGGUCUAAUACUGGAUAUGACCUUUCUCCUCAUGGGGUUUGGUGGAAAGUUUUUCGGUGUAGGAUGAGCCCGCGGCCUAUCAGCUUGUUGGUGGGGUGAUGGCCUACCAAGGCGACGACGGGUAGCCGGCCUGAGAGGGUGAUCGGCCACAUUGGGACUGAGAUACGGCCCAGACUCCUACGGGAGGCAGCAGUGGGGAAUAUUGCACAAUGGGCGGAAGCCUGAUGCAGCGACGCCGCGUGAGGGAUGACGGCCUUCGGGUUGUAAACCUCUUUCAGCAGGGACGAAGCGUAAGUGACGGUACCUGCAGAAGAAGCACCGGCUAACUACGUG